rnacentral:rRNA from 1 species
AUUGAACGCUGGCGGCAGGCCUAACACAUGCAAGUCGAGCGGUAGCACAGAGAGCUUGCUCUCGGGUGACGAGCGGCGGACGGGUGAGUAAUGUCUGGGAAACUGCCUGAUGGAGGGGGAUAACUACUGGAAACGGUAGCUAAUACCGCAUAACGUCGCAAGACCAAAGUGGGGGACCUUCGGGCCUCAUGCCAUCAGAUGUGCCCAGAUGGGAUUAGCUAGUAGGUGGGGUAACGGCUCACCUAGGCGACGAUCCCUAGCUGGUCUGAGAGGAUGACCAGCCACACUGGAACUGAGACACGGUCCAGACUCCUACGGGAGGCAGCAGUGGGGAAUAUUGCACAAUGGGCGCAAGCCUGAUGCAGCCAUGCCGCGUGUGUGAAGAAGGCCUUCGGGUUGUAAAGCACUUUCAGCGGGGAGGAAGGCGGUGAGGUUAAUAACCUCAUCGAUUGACGUUACCCGCAGAAGAAGCACCGGCUAACUCCGUGCCAGCAGCCGCGGUAAUACGGAGGGUGCAAGCGUUAAUCGGAAUUACUGGGCGUAAAGCGCACGCAGGCGGUCUGUCAAGUCGGAUGUGAAAUCCCCGGGCUCAACCUGGGAACUGCAUUCGAAACUGGCAGGCUAGAGUCUUGUAGAGGGGGGUAGAAUUCCAGGUGUAGCGGUGAAAUGCGUAGAGAUCUGGAGGAAUACCGGUGGCGAAGGCGGCCCCCUGGACAAAGACUGACGCUCAGGUGCGAAAGCGUGGGGAGCAAACAGGAUUAGAUACCCUGGUAGUCCACGCCGUAAACGAUGUCGAUUUGGAGGUUGUGCCCUUGAGGCGUGGCUUCCGGAGCUAACGCGUUAAAUCGACCGCCUGGGGAGUACGGCCGCAAGGUUAAAACUCAAAUGAAUUGACGGGGGCCCGCACAAGCGGUGGAGCAUGUGGUUUAAUUCGAUGCAACGCGAAGAACCUUACCUGGUCUUGACAUCCACAGAACUUUCCAGAGAUGGAUUGGUGCCUUCGGGAACUGUGAGACAGGUGCUGCAUGGCUGCCGUCAGCUCGUGUUGUGAAAUGUUGGGUUAAGUCCCGCAACGAGCGCAACCCUUAUCCUUUGUUGCCAGCGGUCCGGCCGGGAACUCAAAGGAGACUGCCAGUGAUAAACUGGAGGAAGGUGGGGAUGACGUCAAGUCAUCAUGGCCCUUACGACCAGGGCUACACACGUGCUACAAUGGCAUAUACAAAGAGAAGCGACCUCGCGAGAGCAAGCGGACCUCAUAAAGUAUGUCGUAGUCCGGAUUGGAGUCUGCAACUCGACUCCAUGAAGUCGGAAUCGCUAGUAAUCGUAGAUCAGAAUGCUACGGUGAAUACGUUCCCGGGCCU